UACGAAGGGGGCUAGCGUUGCUCGGAAUCACUGGGCGUAAAGGGCGCGUAGGCGGCUGAUUUAGUCGAGGGUGAAAGCCCGUGGCUCAACCACGGAAUGGCCUUCGAUACUGGUUGGCUUGAGACCGGAAGAGGACAGCGGAACUGCGAGUGUAGAGGUGAAAUUCGUAGAUAUUCGCAAGAACACCAGUGGCGAAGGCGGCUGUCUGGUCCGGUUCUGACGCUGAGGUGCGAAAGCGUGGGGAGCAAACAGG
rnacentral:rRNA from 1 species